GAAAAGGUUGAGAUUGAGACAAGUAGGAUAUCCGAAUGUUCCAGAGAGCUGAUGGCCGGUGAAAAUCAGCACAUAAGAUAUACCGAAUACACUCAUGAACCGCUUUUGCAAACAAAGCGCUUAAAAGGCUUUCAGUAGUGAAAGAACGGACGCAGUCCGUUAUCAAGAAGAGUGAUAGAGGCUUAUAAAAGCUUUUAUUAGUAGGGUGGUACCGCGAGUUUUUAUCGUCCCUUCG
rnacentral:ncRNA from 1 species